UGAUAAUGAUGAGGGUAAUUUUUUAUCAUAGCCUUAAAUCUUUAUCAAGCUUUUUAAAGAUUCUCUCCAUCUUUCUGCCUAAAGCUUAGAAUCUCACUUCUCAAAUG
rfam:Capsicum annuum cultivar Zunla-1 chromosome 11, whole genome shotgun sequence